CGUAAUUAAUAUUCAUGAGACAGGCCGGGAGGGACGUUUCCUGUCAACAGCACACGCAGCUGCGGUCUCGAGGUGUUGCGCGGGGCCACUCCUCUCAUAAACGUGUUUCAACCGGAAAAACCAGUAGAGCUGAAUGGAAGAAUAAAGACACGGCUCAACAGCCCCUCAUCAUUCUAUGAUUUCACUGUAUGGAGAAAAAAAACCCCAGACAUUCUGCCUGUGUCCUUUUGUGUUCCAUGGAAGAAAGAACAUGAAGAUGAAAGAAAGUAAUCUGGGUUUGCAACAAGUAAGCAAGCAAGCAAUGCCAGAAUGUUCAUUUCUGGGUGAACUAUCCCUUUAAGAGCACACCAAACCGAUCCACCUGAUCGGACGGAUGUUAAACAAAUAAAAAAGUAAAAAUAAAUGUGCCCUGGUCAGUAGGGGGUUCCCAUGUCCUCCGUCUUGACCCCCGCCAAAGCCUUUCACUAACCCAUUCACUGACCAGGCAGGGUGACGCUCCAAACGAAACCCCCCUUCAUCCCCACAGAGAGAGGGAACGCUAUGACCCUAUAAAUAGAGAAGAGGAAUGGUGGUGAUAUGUUGAAGGAAGGAGGGGGGCAUGGAAAAAGGAUUAAGAGAGACAUUCGGCUGGUGGUCGGGCUGUUCCCGCAGUCCUCGGAUCUUUGACUCAGUAGUGCUGCGCCUUCCCCUGAGGAUGGGAAGUGUUUUCAUUACUGGAGGUAAAGGUGUGAUGACAGAAGAGAAGACUGUGCAUCGUGUUCAGGUGCUUAUGUCCUGAUUGGAAGUAGCCUUACUUCCUGAUUGCCUCAUUGGAUGCUUUUAUCCAAUCAGAAUUUGUUCAAGUUCACCCCUUGGCAACUUAAUUUCUUUUGACAUGAAAUUUACAGGUAGCAUAGAUUUAAACUGAACCUUUUGUGCUGUAACUAUCACUACUGCAAUCACUCAUACAAACAGACACGAUCAACUGUCUGAGGCAGCUAAGGUUUACUGGCAUGAUUGUAAACAUUUAUUUAUAAAGCAUUUACACUCUGAAAAAUGCUGGGUUAUUUUUUUUUACCCAAAUGUUGGGUUUAGCCAGUAGGUUGCUGGAUCAUUUUUACUGUCAAAACAAAUGAUGAACCCCCCUCACAUACCUACCCAAUGCUGGGUAAAUGAAACCCAAUGUUGUGUAGUCUGUGCCGAGCCGGUGCUUUACCCAGCUUUAAGCUUUACCCAGUGCUAGGUUGCCAAAUAACCCAAAUUGGGUCAUUUUUAACCCAGCAUUUUAAGAGUACAGACUUCUUGAGCAGCAAAUCAGCAUAUCAGAAUGAUUUCU